rnacentral:misc_RNA from 1 species
CCGGUGGAACCAUUCUCAAACUUUGGGCCCUUUUUGACAGGUUGGUCUCCUUCAGAGACGAGACAAUAGCACCAAGUGCAGGUUUGAUCGGAUCAAACAUGAGCAAACAGAGGCAGUCAACGGAUGAUCUCACAUACUGCAGGAUCAAGAAUCCUUUGCAAAAGCCUCCGAACCGGCGGCGGUGGCAGAAGCCGGUCUCGGGCCACGAUGGCGUCGAGCGCUGGCGGCGCGUCGUCGUCGCUGGUGAAGAACGAGCCCUACAUGCGUGCUGUCAAGAUCUACCUCAAGAGCCUAGACAUCCAAAUGGAGAAACAGCUAGCCAAGACAUGGAGAAGCACAACGGGUCGUAAGGGAGGACUGGGAGAUCGACCUCGCCAAGCUUCUAUCAACCAAAAGAAAAUCAUGCUCCUCAACAGAUAGCAGAACAUCCUAUUUGAAAUGAGUUUGUGAAUAAGUG